CGCGGUCAAAUCACGUUGAAAACACCGGUUCUCGUUCGAUCACCGAAGUUAAGCAUCGUAGAGCCAGGUCAGUACUUAGAUGGGGGACCGCUUGGGAACACCUGGUACUGUAAG